GUUGCAGACGCAUGCUGUUCGUCUACGCAAUAGGUUUAUUGAAGAAAUAUUACAUUAUAUCUGCAUUUCAUCAUGGUUUACACUGACAGUGAAGUGACCAAAUGAAGGGUGUGAGAGAGAUGAUGAGAAACGUCUGUCUCUGCAGCUAUGUAUCCCUGCGGUUCCCUGAGUGUGGCUUGGCCUGUCACACAAAAGCAGCCUUGGACUCUGGCACAGGCUGCACGAGUGUGUCUACUGGCCUGUAUUCCUUCCUGUGACUGUGGGUAGUUCACAUCCUCCACGCUGACCCUGCUGACCCCGCUGACCCCUGAUGUUACACUGCCAAGCAGUGACCAUGUCGAAGCAGAUGGCUUCAGGGACUGCAAGAAGGAUUGACAGCACCCAGAUGGAGAGGAUCUCGAUGGCAGUCAAGAGAGGGAUGCCCACCCCCUGCACCCUGCUCCACGACGCUACAGCCCUGUACCUAGAACAGGAACACAGUGCAGGCGUUACACCUUCUCUCUGGUACCAAGAACACUUAUUGUGUUAAAUCACACAUGAACACUUCAUAAACAUUAUUCCCCCUGGUGAAAAACUGAAAAUAAAAAGUGCUUGUCCUGUAGAUCAGUACAGUAGGCCAGUAGUGUUUAAAGAGCUAAAAUACUGAAGGGUUUAAUUGCUUUUAUUUGUAAAUAACAAAGCAGAUAAAUUAGAGAUUCAUCAGAAAGGGCAAGGAUGAUCCAAGACUCAUGGAAAGUCACAUUGUGUUCUUCUGUGCUGUAAUAUUUAUGUUGCAAAAUACUCACUGACAGAACUAAUGUUUAUUGUUGGGAAGAAGCCAUUGAGCUUGCUUGCCAAACACACUUCUUGUUUCCUGUUGCUGGAAAUCAUGUUUGCCUGUUUGUAUCAUUAAUAACAUCUCUCAAGUGAAUGUUUUAGUAUAAUGCUGCAUCAAGAUUUCAUGUGGAAAUAUAUAUUUUUCAUGACACAUUUGAAUAUCCCUGCCGAACAACAUUGUACCAUUUAUAUUUCACCAGUGGUGUACCUAAUUCUUUAGACUGCCAGACCAUGGAAGAAGACAUAACAGUCAUGACAGCCUUAUGCAGGAAUACGGAGAUAUGCAGAACAUUUCCUUGACCUCAUUUUGAAUACAAAUUAGGACCAUCUGGGUAUUUGUACCGGUGAUGUGAGGUGAGCCAUUGUCAUGAUGAAGCCUUGUGAAGCCCUGCAGACUUGCGAGGACCUUCUGUGCUUUCUGCUAAAAAGUUUUAUUUUUCAUCUACUUUACACUAGCAAUGCUCCACAAGAAGCCAAAGACACAGAUUACUCCUCUUUGUCACUUUAGUUUCUCACUAUGCAUCAUCUUUAGUUUUUCUUUGUGUUUCUCAAGAAUAUUCUGUAUGGUAGGACAUUUUUAAAGCAAACCAAAAUGAUCAUAUCAGAGAUAACUGUAAAUAACAUCUAAAUCUAAGACUUAGGGAUAACAUUAUUAAACACAUACAAACAAUGAUUUCCUAUCUGCCUGGGAAAAAAACUGAGAUAAACAAGCUCACAGGUGGCCAUGGAAAAGGAAGCUCCUCUACAUCAUGAGAGCUGGCCAUUACAAUUAACCCCAGCUCCUUCCUGAACAGUGCAGUAGACCGCAAACAAGGACUAACCCAGUCCUGCAUCCUGUUCACAUUCGGACAGGAAUAAAACCGUUGACCUCUCUUAGGAGAUUGUUUCCCCUUCAGAGCUGCAAUAGAGAGCCUCACCCUACUGCCCCUCGGAGAAAUCAAAAAACUAAAUAAAAUGACCCAAUGCCCAAUU